GAUCCUGGCUCAGGAUGAACGCUAGCGACAGGCUUAACACAUGCAAGUCGAGGGGCAGCACGGGAGUAGCAAUACAACUGGUGGCGACCGGCGCACGGGUGAGUAACGCGUAUGCAACCUACCUAUCAGAGGGGAAUAACCCGGCGAAAGUCGGACUAAUACCGCAUAAAACAGGGGCACCGCAUGGUGAUAUUUGUUAAAGAGAUUCGCUGAUAGAUGGGCAUGCGUUCCAUUAGGUAGUUGGUGAGGUAACGGCUCACCAAGCCGACGAUGGAUAGGGGAACUGAGAGGUUGGUCCCCCACACUGGUACCGAGACACGGACCAGACUCCUACGGGAGGCAGCAGUGAGGAAUAUUGGUCAAUGGGCGGGAGCCUGAACCAGCCAAGUCGCGUGAAGGAAGAAGGAUCUAUGGUUCGUAAACUUCUUUUGCAGGGGAAUAAAGUGCAGGACGUGUCCUGUUUUGUAUGUACCCUGAGAAUAAGGAUCGGCUAACUCCGUGCCAGCCGCCGC
rnacentral:rRNA from 1 species